rnacentral:lncRNA from 1 species
CGCCACCGUUGCCAAGGGAUGGGUCCCUGAGACUUGGCGAAGUGGGAGCCCUGUGUGAUCGUGCGUCAGAGUCGGGGCUGAGACCAGCCCCGGCCAGGGUAGUUACCGGGACGGUCUCCGGAGGCCGGGAUUCGCGGAGGGUCCACCAGCAGGAAGAAACCCCAGGAGGAAGAAACCUCAGACAGAUCGCCGGGGAGGCAGCGCGGGAUCCCAGCCUCAGGCGUGCGCGGACGGUGUGCGGACAGAGUCUAGCUUUGUACCAGGCUGCAGUGCAGUAGUGCCAUCUCAGCUCACUGCAACCUCUGCCUCCCGGGUUCAAGAGAUUGUCCUGCCUCAGCCUCCCGAGUAGCUGGGAUUACAGGCACAUGCCACCACACCCAGCUAAUGUUUGUAUUUUUAGUAGACACGGGGUUUCAUCAUGUUGCCCAGGAUGGUCUCAAUUUCCUGACCUCGUGAUCCGCACAUCUCGGCCUCCCAAAAUGCUGGGAUUACAGGCAUGAGCCACCAGAACCGGACAUGCUUUCCUUAAAAGCUAAAUAUUUUAGGCUUGUGUGCCAUUAGGCUCUGUUACAACUACUUAAUUCUGCUUUUGUAAUUCUAUAGCACCCAUUGAUAAUACAUAAACAAAUGAGCAUGAAUGUAUCUCAGUAAAAAUUUGUUCACAUAAACAGGCAGUCCACCCAUGAAGCUAUAGCUUGCUGACCCCUUGUUUAAACAAUCAAUUGAAUUCAAACAGAAAUAAAAGGAUCUUAUAUAUUUAACCAUGUUGAUACCAUUUCCAGUGCUUUUCAUUCUUCUAUGUAGAUCCAAAUUUCCUUUUGAUAUUAU